rfam:Triticum aestivum genome assembly, contig: Triticum_aestivum_CS42_TGACv1_scaffold_224340_3B
CAACUACUCCCUCUGUCCUGAAUUUCUUGUCUUAGAUUUGUCUAGAUACGGGUGUAUGUGUGACUUGAUACAUCCGUAUCUAGACAAAUCUAAGACAAGAAUUUUGGGACGGAGGGAGUACUUU